rnacentral:rRNA from 1 species
CCUACGGGAGGCAGCAGUGGGGAAUAUUGCACAAUGGGGGAAACCCUGAUGCAGCGACGCCGCGUGAGUGAAGAAGUAUUUCGGUAUGUAAAGCUCUAUCAGCAGGGAAGAAGAAAGACGGUACCUGCCUAAGAAGCACCGUCUAACUACGUGCCAGCCGCCGCGGUAAUACGUAGGGGCCAAGCGUUAUCCGGGUUUACUGGGUGUAAAGGGAGCGUAGACGGGUGUGCAAGUCUGAAGUGAAAGCCCAGGGCUCAAACCUGGGACUGCUUUGGAAACUGUGGAGCUAGAGUGCGGGAGAGGUAAGUGGAAUUCCUGGUGUAGCGGUGAAAUGCGUAGAUAUUAGGAGGAACACCAGUGGCGAAGGCAGCUUACUGGACCGUAACUGACGUUGAGGCUCGAAAGCGUGGGGAGCAAACAGGAUUAGAUACCCGUGUAGUC